rnacentral:sRNA from 1 species
AAAUAUUACCGUUCCAUGUUGAUCUGCCACUCAGAACCAGUUUGGGAACCAUGAUCUAUCCUGAUUAUUGGUCGAUAUUGACCGGUGCCUCAGGAAGGAA